rnacentral:rRNA from 1 species
UACGGGGGGGUAAGCGUUGUUCGGAAUUACUGGGCGUAAAGGGCUCGUAGGCGGCCAACUAAGUCAGACGUGAAAUCCCUCAGCUUAACUGGGGAACUGCGUCUGAUACUGGAUGGCUUGGAUUGGGAGAGGGAUGCGGAAUUCCAGGUGUAGCGGUGAAAUGCGCAGAUAUCAGGAAGAACACCCGUGGCGAAGGCGGUCUCUGGGACGGUACUGACGCUGAGACGCGAAAGCGUGGGGAGCGAACAGG